rnacentral:tRNA from 1 species
UUGACGGUAGCUCAAUGGGCAGAGCGCGGGGUCGUGAUCCCCGAGGUUGCGGGUUCAAAUCCCGUCCGUCACCCCA